rnacentral:rRNA from 1 species
AUUGAACGCUGGCGGCAGGCCUAACACAUGCAAGUCGAGCGGAUGAGUGGAGCUUGCUCCAUGAUUCAGCGGCGGACGGGUGAGUAAUGCCUAGGAAUCUGCCUGGUAGUGGGGGACAACGUUUCGAAAGGAACGCUAAUACCGCAUACGUCCUACGGGAGAAAGCAGGGGACCUUCGGGCCUUGCGCUAUCAGAUGAGCCUAGGUCGGAUUAGCUAGUAGGUGAGGUAAUGGCUCACCUAGGCGACGAUCCGUAACUGGUCUGAGAGGAUGAUCAGUCACACUGGAACUGAGACACGGUCCAGACUCCUACGGGAGGCAGCAGUGGGGAAUAUUGGACAAGUGGNGAAAGCCUGAUCCAGCCAUGCCGCGUGUGUGAAGAAGGUCUUCGGAUUGU